CCUAUUUCCUUAUUUUUGUGAAUGGACAGAGUGAUCUAUAUUUUUUCUUCCUCACGCAGGUCGUCGUCAAGCCCUCGCGCGGCUGAUGGGCAUAGGCUGGUCCAUGCAUGCUGGUGAUGGCGGCUCACCAAGGUUGUCGUCGUCGCCUGCACGCAUGAGGCACCCGACGACCUCCUCCAUCACCAACCAUGAGGACCGGGCAUGAGCUGCAGUACAGGUCUCGUACACCAGGGAGGUGGUGAUCAGGUGAACAACAUAUCCCUGGAAGACCUCAUGUGUGCAGUGGGAGUCGGAGAAGGAGGGCUGAUUGCAAACCGCGGCAUCUUCAUGUACAAAUGCUGGCCUUUUAUUCAGGACAAAAAAUUUGGAUGAAGCAUAGUUUUACCUCAUUGAGCUAGUUCUGGGAGUAACGAAGUCCUUGUAAUAGAACUUGUAUGUGUCCUAGUUCUGGGAGCUACUUCAUUGGAAUAAUGAUGAUCCUUUUUGUUUGUUAUAUGAUGUAGCAGAACUUGUAGGGCUCCUGUGAUAGACUCAUGUUAUAGACUUGGGCUGAUACACUUGGGCUGUAUGUGUGUUAUAUGAUGUAGCAGAUUGCUUCGUGCUGCUAUUUGAAGUAUUG